CUCGGGUCCGCCGAAAAUAUUUAUUUAUUUACUUCAUUCCUCCCGAGGCGGCCGACGUAAUUCUCCCCUCCCAUCUUACCCCGCAACAAGCUGUGGGAGUGCGACUGGCCCAAGGUCAGCCAGUGAGCUCCAUGGCAGAGCCCGGAUUAUAGUUACCUCAUGUAAUUUACCUCAUCAAACUGAGAGUGCAACGGGCUGAAGGUCAUCCAGUGAGCUCUAUGGCAGAGCAGGGAUUAUUUACCUCAUAAAACCAGGAGACUGGGGGCUCUCCUGUCCUCCUCAGGCAGGCCAUUCCACAGGGUGGGGCCACCACAGAGAAAGCCCAUGUACAGGCUGCUGUUGAUUUCGCUUAUGUGCAGGGUGGCACUUGCAGGAGACCCUGUUCUGAUGAGCGAAGCUGCCACGGAGGAACAUAGGGAGGGAGGCGGUCCUGUAGGUGUGCCGGACCAAGGCCGAGAAGAGCUUUCACUGCCCCUUUUGCGACAUCGCGCAAAACGUUUGCGAGAAGAGGCUAUCUUCUGCAUUUUUGUGCAAUAUUUCGCAAUGUUCCGGGACAGGUGUUUUACAACUGUGUGUUGUGAGAAGAUCCAUACCUUCAGUGAUCCUAAGUGACACAGUGAGUGUGGCGGUAGAGUCCAGAGGCGAAAAGGUGACCUGUACCACUUCAGCCCGGGGAGGUGGGAUAACCUUUUUGAAGGUCAUAAUUCACACAUCAUGGAUUUCACAGGUUGAGUUUGGCAUCCUCACUUCAUGUAAGGCAUGACAGUUAAACAU